GACGAACGCUGGCGGCGUGCUUAACACAUGCAAGUCGAACGGAAAGGCCCUGCUUUUGUGGGGUGCUCGAGUGGCGAACGGGUGAGUAGCACGUGAGUAACCUGCCCUUGACUUUGGGAUAACUUCAGGAAACUGGGGCUAAUACCGGAUAGGAGCUCCUGCUGCAUGGUGGGGGUUGGAAAGUUUCGGCGGUUGGGGAUGGACUCGCGGCUUAUCAGCUUGUUGGUGGGGUAGUGGCUUACCAAGGCUUUGACGGGUAGCCGGCCUGAGAGGGUGACCGGCCCCAUUGGGACUGAGAUACGGCCCCGACUCCUACGGGAGGCAGCCGUGGGGGAUAUUGCACAAUGGGCGGAAGCCUGAUGCAGCAACGCCGCGUGCGGGAUGACGGCCUUCGGGUUGUAAACCGCUUUCGCCUGUGACGAAGCGUGAGUGACGGUAAUGGGUAAAGAAGCACCGGCUAACUACGUG
rnacentral:rRNA from 1 species